rnacentral:rRNA from 1 species
AGUCAUAUGCUUGUCUCAAAGAUUAAGCCAUGCAUGUCUCAGUACAAGCCAAAUUAAGGUGAAACCGCGAAAGGCUCAUUAAAUCAGUUAUGGUUCCUUAGAUCGUACCCACAAUUACAUGGAUAACUGUGGUAAUUCUAGAGCUAAUACAUGCAAACAGAGUCCGAACCGGAGACGGAACGGACGCUUUUAUUAGAUCAAAACCAAUCGGCGGCAAGUUUACUUGUCGUCGUAUAAUUUGGUGACUCUGAAUAACUUACUGCUGAUCGCAUGGUCUAGCACCGGCGACGCAUCUUUCAAAUGUCUGCCUUAUCAACUGUCGAUGGUAGGUUCUGCGCCUACCAUGGUUGUAACGGGUAACGGGGAAUCAGGGUUCGAUUCCGGAGAGGGAGCCUGAGAAACGGCUACCACAUCCAAGGAAGGCAGCAGGCGCGCAAAUUACCCACUCCCGGCACGGGGAGGUAGUGACGAAAAAUAACGAUACGGGACUCAUCCGAGGCCCCGUAAUCGGAAUGAGUACACUUUAAAUCCUUUAACAAGGAUCAAUUGGAGGGCAAGUCUGGUGCCAGCAGCCGCGGUAAUUCCAGCUCCAAUAGCGUAUAUUAAAGUUGUUGCGGUUAAAAAGCUCGUAGUCGAAUUUGUGUCACGCGCCGCUGGUUCAUCGUUCGCGGUGUUAACUGGCGUGUCGCGGGACGUCCUGCCGGUGGAUUUAGCUUUUUUUAAUUCUAUCGAAUUUUUUAAAGCGAUCCAAUUUAAUCUUGCCACGGUGCUCUUCAUCGAGUGUCGAGGUGGGCCGGCACGUUUACUUUGAACAAAUUAGAGUGCUUAAAGCAGGCUAAAAUUUUGCCUGAAUAUUCUGUGCAUGGAAUAAUGGAAUAGGACCUCGGUUCUAUUUUGUUGGUUUUAAGAACCCCGAGGUAAUGAUUAAUAGGUACGGAUGGGGGCAUUCGUAUUGCGACGUUAGAGGUGAAAUUCUUGGAYCGUCGCAAGACGRACAMAAGCGAAAGCAUUUGCCAAAAAACGUUUUCAUUAAUCAAGAACGAAAGUCAGAGGUUCGAAGGCGAUCAGAUACCGCCCUAGUUCUGACCAUAAACGAUGCCAGCUAGCGAUCCGCCGACGUUCUUUCGAUGACGCGGCGGGCAGCUUCCGGGAAACCAAAGCUUUUGGGUUCCGGGGGAAGUAUGGUUGCAAAGCUGAAACUUAAAGGAAUUGACGGAAGGGCACUACCAGGAGUGGAGCCUGCGGCUCAAUUUGACUCAACACGGGAAACCUCACCAGGCCCAGACACCGUGAGGAUUGACAGAUUGAGAGCUCUUUCUUGAUUCGGUGGGUGGUGGUGCAUGGCCGUUCCUGGUUCGUGGAGCGAUUUGUCAGGUCAAUUCCGAUAACAAACGAGACUCUAGCCUGCUAAAUAGGCGUUUUACUGGCAUCCUAAAGGCCCGCCGAUCCAAUACUUCGGUGUUGUGAUUGCGUGGUUUUUACUGCCAGCGUACAUAUAAUUCUUCUUAGAGGGACAGGCGGCUUAUAGCCGCACGAGAUUGAGCAAUAACAGGUCAGUAAUGCCCUUAGAUGUUCUGGGCCGCACGCGCGCUACACUGAAGGAAUCAGCGUGUCUUCCCUGGCCGAAUGGCCCGGGUAACCCGUUGAACCUCCUUCGUGCUAGGGAUUGGGGCUUGCAAUUUUUCCCCAUGAACGAGGAAUUCCCAGUAAGCGCGAGUCAUAAACUUGCGCUGAUUACGUCCCUGCCCUUUGUCCACACCGCCCGUCGCUACUACCGAUUGAAUGAUUUAGUGAGGUCUUUGGACUGGUACGCGGUAGCGUUUUGACGUCUACCGAUGUUUUACUGGGAAGAUGACCAAGCUUGAUCCUUUAGAGGAAGUAAAA